rnacentral:rRNA from 1 species
AAUCAACGCUGGCGGCGUGCCUCAGACAUGCAAGUCGAACGAUUAAAGCUCCCUUCGGGGAGUGUAUAGAGUGGCGCACGGGUGAGUAACACGUAAGUAAUCUACCCUCGAGUGGGGAAUAACGUCCGGAAACGGACGCUAAUACCGCAUAAUGCAGCGGCACCGCAAGGUGACAGUUGUUAAAGAUUUAUCGCUUGAGGAGGAGCUUGCGGCAGAUUAGCUAGUUGGUAAGGUAAUGGCUUACCAAGGCUACGAUCUGUAACCGGUCUAAGAGGACGGUCGGUCACACUGACACUGAAUAACGGGUCAGACUCCUACGGGAGGCAGCAGUCGGGAAUUUUGGGCAAUGGGCGAAAGCCUGACCCAGCAACGCCGCGUGAAGGAUGAAGUAUUUCGGUAUGUAAACUUCGAAAGAAUGGGAAGAAUCAAUGACGGUACCAUUUAUAAGGUCCGGCUAACUACGUGCCAGCAGCCGCCGUAACAC